rnacentral:sRNA from 1 species
AUUCUGGUUGUUUAGACGUGGAUGUGUGGCAUGGGUGUGUAAAGGAGCCCCUUCCAAGAAGAUACCUAGCUUAAAUACAUUAUAGUUCUUAUCAGUAUUCUUAUAGUCUAGACUCAAGAAGAGGUCUGCCAUGGGUGAACUUGAGCACAACAGAUUCCAACAUUGAGGGUGUGGAAACUCUUCAAGAGAAUAAGCAGUUUCUUACCAGAAAUCCAUCAGCUAAUACUGAAUAAACAAUUGAAGAGUAUUUUAAGGAACAAAGAAGAAAGGAGUGAGAAGCUGAUGACCUGAAGUUUUCACGUGGGACUAAUUUAGGUAAUAUUCUUUUAGUAAAUGGUACAGCGUGUGGAGAGAUAAAAAUUACAGAUUUUGGUCUUUCGAAGAUCAUGGAUGAUGAUAGCUACAAUUCAGUGGAUGGCAUGGAGCUAACAUCACAAGGUGCUGGUACUUAUUGGUAUUUACCACCAGAGUGUUUUGUGGUUGGGAAAGAACCACCAAAGAUCUCAAAUAAAG